AUUUAUUUUUAAUUCCAACAAAAAUAAUUUACAAAAACAUUUGUAAAUUUAGUUAUUGAAUUUAUGUGCGUCGCAUAUUUAUUUAAAGCAUUUUCACGAGCUUUUAGUCAACAAACCCUGAAGAAUUAUUACAGUUUUUAUAGUACAACCCGGAAGAUUUUUUUUAUUUUAUUUUAUUUUAUUCCACUACUCCCACCUACUCUCCACCUUUCCUCCCACUUUCCCUUCCACUACUCCCACCACCAACUUCCACUGCACCUUUCCUUCCACUUAUUCCAUCAACCACCGACUCCCUCACAAUUUUAUAUCACCUUCCCUUUACACCACUAUACCAACUAAAACAUUUUAUAUCAGCUAAGGGAAGCUUUAACUCUGUUUCAAACAAAUCACCACAAUUUAUUCUCACAAGAAAAACGCAGAUGGAGGGCCUUAUUCACCAAAUUCCCUCUUUCAAGAACAGAACUUGAACUUACAAAGUUUUUGUUGCUGCAUGCUUUCACACCACAAGAAGCUUGGUUUUAAAGGACUCUCCCUCAACAGAUCAACAAAUCAGUAUCACAAGGCUUUGUGACCAGGGGGAUUAGCGCUGCUUCCCAAGACAGGUUUAUAUGUGAUUAUGAUCUUCAGGCUUUGCCUAACCAGGUUGAGCAGUUGAUGGAAUGGAAUGAUGUUGAGCGGGUGUUCCUUUGACAUUUCAAGAAAUGUAACCUUGAGGAUACAUCUUCAUAUGUAUAUCUCACACGUUUUUCCGCUGCAAAACACUUUGAUUAGGAUAACUCUAUGUUAUGAAGUUGUGACACGUGUUAUUGGGUAACCCACCUUAAUCAGUUCUCCUUUA